UACGUAGGGUGCAAGCGUUUGUCCGGAAUUAUUGGGCGUAAAGAGCUCGUAGGCGGUUUGUCGCGUCUGCUGUGAAAUCCCGAGGCUCAACCUCGGGUCUGCAGUGGGUACGGGCAGACUAGAGUGCGGUAGGGGAGAUUGGAAUUCCUGGUGUAGCGGUGGAAUGCGCAGAUAUCAGGAGGAACACCGAUGGCGAAGGCAGAUCUCUGGGCCGUAACUGACGCUGAGGAGCGAAAGCAUGGGGAGCGAACAGG
rnacentral:rRNA from 1 species